AGGAGUCGUGGUGGUGUCUGUAGUUGUGCUGGCAGUGGCUGUCGUCUUAAUAUCAGCUGCAGUUGUGGUGGCAGUGGCUGCUGUUGUGGUAGCGGCUAAAGUUGUGGUGGCAGGGGGUGUUGUCGAAGUGGCAGCUGUCGUAGUGGCGGCUGCAGUUGUGGUUGCAGCUCUUGUGGUACCAGCUGGAGUUGUGGUGGCAGUUGCUACUGUUGUAGUGGCUGCUGUAGUUGUAGUGGCGGCUACAGUUGUGCUGCCGACUGCUGUUGCUAUGGUGGCAGAGGCUAUUGUAGUGGAAGCUGCAGUUGUGGUAGUAGUUGUAGUGGUGUCUACAGUUGUGGUGGCAGGGGCUGUCGUCGUAGUGGCAGCUGCUGUUUUGUUAGCAGUCAUAGUGGCAGCUGCUGUUGUUUUUGCAGAUGCUGCUCUUGUGGUACCAGCUGAAGUUGUGGUGGCAGCGGCUGCUGUUGUGGUGGCAGCGGCUGUUGUUGUGGUGGCAGUCGUUGUGGUGGCUGCUGUUGUGGUGGCUGCUGUUGUGGUUGCAGAUGCUGCUCUUGUGGUACCAGCUGGAGUUGUGGAGGCAGCGGCUGCUGUAGUCGUAGUGGCUGCUGUAGUCGUAGUAGCAUCUACAGUUGUGCUGGCGGCUGCUGUUGCGGCAGAGACUGUCGUAGUGGAAGCUAAAGUUGUGGUAGUAGUCGUAUUGGUGUCUGCAGUUGUGGUGGCAGGGUCUGUUGUAAUUUCAGCUGCAGUUGUGGUGGCAGGGACUGUCAUAGUGGCGUCUGCAUUUGUGGUGGCAGUGGCUGUCGUAGUGGCGUCUACAGUUACGGAGGCAGCGGCUGCAGUAGUGGUGUCAGCGACUGUCGUCAUAGUGGCAGCUGCAGUUGUGGUAGCAGCUGCACUUGUGGUUGCUGUGGCUGCUGUUGUGGUAGCGGCUAAAGUUGUGGUGGCAUGGGAUGUCUUAGUAGUGUCUCCAGUUGUGUUGGCAGAGGCUGUCGUAGUGGCGUCUACAGUUACGGUGGCAGGGGCUGCAGUAGUGGUGGCAGGGGCUGCUGUAGUGGUAGCAGCUGCUGCUCUUGUGGUACCAGCUGGUGUUGUGAUGGCAGCUGGAGUUGUGGUGGCAGUUGCUACUGUUAUAGUGGCUGCUGUAGUUGUAGUGGCAGCUACAGUUGUGCUGGCGACUGCUGUUGCUAUGGUGGCAGAGGCUGUCGUAGUGGGGUCUGCAUUUGUUGUGGCAGUGACUGCUGUUGUGGUAGCGGCUAAAAUUGUGGUGGCAUGGGUUGUCUUAGUGGUGUCUCCAGUUGUGGUGGCAGAGGCUGUCGAAGUGGCCUCUACAUUUACGGUGGCAGGGGCUGCAGUAGUGAUAGCAGUGGCUGCUGUCGUGAUGGCAGGAGUUUUCUUAGUGGUGUCUGCAGUUGUGGUGGUAGAGGCUGUUGUUGUAGUGGCAGCUGCAGUUGUGGUUACAGCUGCUGCUCUUGUGGUACCAGCUGGAGUUGUGUUUGCAGUUGCUACUGUUGUAGUGGCUGCUGUAGUUGAAGUGGCGGCUGCAGUUGUGGUGGCGGCUGCUGUUGCUGUGGUGGCAGGGGCUGUCGUAUAUGUGGCUGCAGUUGUGGUGACAGGGGCUGUCGUAUAUGUGGCUGCAGUCGUGGUGGCAGGUGCUGUCGUAGGGACGUCUGCAAUUACGGUGGCAGGGGCUGCAGUAGUGGUGGCAGCGGCUGUUGUCGUGGUGGCGGCUGCAGUUGUGGUGGAAGCGGCUGUUGUGAUAGCAGUCGUAAUGGCGGCUGCAUUAGUGGUAGCAGUCGUUGUGGUGGCAAAUGCAGUUGUGGUUGCAGAUGCUGCUCUUGUGGUACCAGCUGGAGUUGUGCUGGCAGCGGCUGCACUUGUGGUGGCCGCUGUAGGUGUAGUGGCAUCUACAGUUGUGCUGGCGACUGCUGUUGCUAUGGUGGCAGAGGCUGUCGUAGUGGAAGCUGCAGUUGUGGUAGGAGUCGUGGUGGUGUCUGUAGUUGUGCUGGCAGUGGCUGUCGUCUUAAUAUCAGCUGCAGUUGUGGUGGCAGUGGCUGCUGUUGUGGUAGCGGAUAAAGUUGUGGUGGCAUGGGUUGUCUUUGUUGUGUCUCCAGUUGUGGUGGCAGGGGCUGUCAUAGUGGUGUCUACAGUUACAGUGGCAGGGGCUGCAGUAGUGGUGGCAGUGGCUGCUGUUGUGGUGGCAGGGGUUGUCUUAGCAGUGUCUGCAGUUGUGGUGGUAGCGGCUGUUGUCGUAGUGGCAGCUGCAGUUGUGGUUGAAGCUGCUGCUCUUGUGGUACCAGCUGGAGUUGUGGUGGCAGUUGCUACUGUUGUAGUG
rnacentral:lncRNA from 1 species